rnacentral:rRNA from 1 species
UACGUAGGGUGCGAGCGUUAAUCGGAAUUACUGGGCGUAAAGGGCUCGUAGGCGGUUCGUACAGUCAGACGUGAAAUUCCUGGGCUCAACCUGGGGGCUGCGUUUGAUACGUGCGGACUUGAGUGCGGAAGAGGGUCGUGGAAUUCCCAGUGUAGAGGUGAAAUUCGUAGAUAUUGGGAAGAACACCGGUGGCGAAGGCGGCGACCUGGUCCGAUACUGACGCUGAGGCGCGAAAGCGUGGGGAGCAAACAGG